rnacentral:rRNA from 1 species
GUGCCAGCCGCCGCGGUAAUACGGGGGGGGCAAGCGUUGUUCGGAAUUACUGGGCGUAAAGGGCUCGUAGGCGGCCAACUAAGUCAGACGUGAAAUCCCUCGGCUUAACCGGGGAACUGCAUCUGAUACUGGAUGGCUUGAGAUUGGGAGAGGGAUGCGGAAUUCCAGGUGUAGCGGUGAAAUGCGUAGAUAUCUGGAGGAACACCGGUGGCGAAGGCGGCAUCCUGGACCAACACUGACGCUGAGGAGCGAAAGCCAGGGGAGCAAACGGGAUUAGAUACCCCCGUAGUCC